ACGAGUGCUGCCGCGGUGGCCAAUUUGUCGUUCCAGAUUUGUUGAUUUCGGCGGCCAUUUUGUUUUUUCUUAAAUAGGCCCGUAUAUGUUUACUUUAUUUUCUUAUUAAUUAUCAAUAUUUGAGCUUUUUUAUGGUGUUUUUCGUGCUUAGCUUUUAAAUUAACCCUAUGGUUAUCUAUUUCCAGUCAUUUUGUCUUAAUAUUGUUACCAGAUUUCUUUCUCUCUCUUGCCUAGGAACUGUCAAAAUGGUUAAUUUGUUAUUUUAAGAUAUAUUUAUCAUAUUAAGUAACUCAGUUUAUUACAGGUGAGAUUUCCUUCAGUAACCUGCUUUUUUUCCCAUCAAAAUACCCCCAUUUGUUUGUAAAAUAUCAAUUAUGGGGUAUGGCUUGGGACCCUUUUUCUGAAGAAAUUACCAGUAUUAUUGGUUAUCAGUUGGAUUUUCUUCAUCGUGAACUAUGAAGGCUAGAAUGAGAACAUUUCGGCUGUCCCCACUGUCAACUGUAAUAUGCUGCGUUUUUUAGAGAGAUUUUGAGAGAGAUGAAAGUUUUUAUCGGUGGCCAGAUAUCCAUGAUCAACCAGCUGAUUCAUUUGAUUUUGAACCAGAUUUAAACCAAACUGUACCCCAAUUCCUGCAAAGUGCUCCUGAAAGUUUUUCUCUCUUAGAACAAAAGACUGGACUAAUUUCUGUGGCUAAAAUUUUCAGAGACUUGUGGUCAAGCUG
rnacentral:lncRNA from 1 species